rnacentral:misc_RNA from 1 species
GAUGAAGAACGUAGCGAAAGUGCGAAACGUAAUGUGAAUUGCAGAAUUCAGUGAAUCAUCGAAACUUUGAACGCACCUUGCGCCCUUUGGCCAUUCCGAAGGGCAUGCCUGUUUGAGUAUCAUGAACACCUCAACGCUUCAUGGUUUUCCGUGAUGAGCUUGGACUUUGGGGGUCUUGCUGGCCUAUGGUCAGCUCCUCUAAAAUAAAUCAGCUUGCCAGUGUUUGGUGGGUAUCACAGGUGUGAUAACUAUCUACGCUUGUGGUUUUCCACCAGGUAACCUUCAGCAGUGGAGGUUCACUGGAGCUCACAGAUGUGUCUCUCCUCAGUGAGGACAGCUCUUUGAAUGUUUGAUCUCAAAUCAGGUAGGACUACCCGCUGAACUUAAGCAUAUCAAUAAGCGGAGGA